UGCAGUGCGGAACGAGGCUAA
rnacentral:miRNA from 1 species